CACUGAGAUUUUCACAGCUUAUAUCACUGCGCUUCCUGUGUUUGUGCGGCUGAGACAGACUGUCAUUCUGGGUAUUUUUCAGUGACAGUUUCUGCAGGUUACAUCAAUACACCAGAAGGGCUUGAUGAAUGGGCAGAUAAACAGCAGAUGGGCUUCAUCUGAUCACUCAAUACCUUGAUAUCCAAUCCUAAUGAAAGGGCCAACAAGGAGAGAGGCUGUUGUUCAGAAUGAAAACAAAGACUGCUUUAAGGAGGUUUUGCCCAAGACUUUCAAAAAUGAACACAGGCAUUGAUGAUGUCCGCAGCAUGCCAG
ensembl:lncRNA